rnacentral:rRNA from 1 species
UACGUAGGGGUCCGAGCGUUGUCCGGAAUUAUUGGCGUAAAGGAGCUCGUAGGCGGUCUGUUGCGUCGGCUGUGAAAACCCGGGGCUCAACUCCGGGCCUGCAGCCGAUACGGGCAGACUAGAGUUCGGCAGGGGAGACUGGAAUUCCUGGUGUAGCGGUGAAAUGCGCAGAUAUCAGGAGGAACACCGGUGGCGAAGGCGGGUCUCUGGGCCGAUACUGACGCUGAGGAGCGAAAGCGUGGGGAGCGAACAGG